CCGAGUGCGGGCCCUCAGACGGCCCAACCUCCCACCCUUGUCUCUAUACACCUGUUGCUUUGGCGGGCCCACCGGGGGCCACCUGGUCGCCGGGGGACGUACGUCCCCGGGCCCGCGCCCGCCGAAGCGCGCUGUGAACCCUGAUGAAGAUGGGCUGUCUGAGUACUAUGAAAAUUGUCA
rnacentral:misc_RNA from 1 species